rnacentral:pre_miRNA from 1 species
AUAAGAAUCAUCUGGAGAUCUUGUUAAAAUACAGAUUUUUAUCUAGUAAGUCUAAGGCAGGGCUUGAGAUUCAGCAUUUCUAACAAGCUCCCAGGUGAUUCUGAU